rnacentral:rRNA from 1 species
AUUGAACGCUGGCGGCAGGCAUAACACAUGCAAGUCGAGCGAGCGGCGGACGGGUGCGUAAUGUCUGGGAAACUGCCUGCUGGAGGGGGAUAACUCCUGGCUACGGUAGCUAAUACCGCAUCCCAUCAGAUAUUCCCUGCUGGGUUUAGCUAGUAGGUGGGGUAACGGCUAACCUAGGCGACGAUCCCUCGCUGGUCUGAGAGGAUGACCAGCCAAACUGGAACUGAGAACCGGUCCAGACCCCUACGGAAGGCAGCAGUGGGGAAUAUUGCACAUUGGGCGCAAGCCUGAUGCAGCCAUGCCGCGUGUGUGAAGAAGGCCUUCGGGUUGUAAAGCACUUUCAGCGGGGAGGCGUUACCCGCAGAAGAAGCACCGGCUAACUCCGUGCCAGCAGCCGCGGUAAUUC